CGGGAAAAGCUCAAAUUUAAAAUCUGGCGGUCUCUGGCCGUCCGAGUUGUAAGUUAGAGAAGUGUUACCCGCGCUGGACCGUGUACAAGUCUCCUGGAACAGAAUGUCAGAGAGGGUGAGAAUCCCGUCUUGGACCGGCGUAGGGCCCGUGUAAAACUCCUUCGAC
rnacentral:rRNA from 1 species